UACGAAGGGGGCUAGCGUUGCUCGGAAUUACUGGGCGUAAAGGGCGCGUAGGCGGACAGUUUAGUCAGAGGUGAAAGCCCAGGGCUCAACCUUGGAAUUGCCUUUGAUACUGGCUGUCUUGAGUACGGGAGAGGUGUGUGGAACUCCGAGUGUAGAGGUGAAAUUCGUAGAUAUUCGGAAGAACACCAGUGGCGAAGGCGACACACUGGCCCGUUACUGACGCUGAGGCGCGAAAGCGUGGGGAGCAAAC
rnacentral:rRNA from 1 species